GAUCAUGGCUCAGGACGAACGCUGGCGGCGUGCCUAACACAUGCAAGUCGAACGGAAAAUUGAGCUUCGGUUCAAUUUUUAGUUGGCGAACGGGUGAGUAACGCGUAGGCAACCUGCCCUUUAGACGGGGACAACAUUCCGAAAGGGAUGCUAAUACCGGAUGUGACGCUCCUAUCGCAUGAGGGGAGCGUGAAAGAUGGCCUCUACAUGUAAGCUAUCGCUAAAGGAUGGGCCUGCGU
rnacentral:rRNA from 1 species